rnacentral:lncRNA from 1 species
CCUCCACAGUCUCCCUCAACUUCGUAGCCAUAAAACCCCUCACUACAAUCAUAGUCUCCCAUGUUGUAGUCACAAUAAUCCCCGUCUAUCGAAGACAUGUUCCCCUUAUAUCACCUUUGUACCUACACAAUGAACAAACAAGAUUAGUAGUAAAAGCUCCUCACCAACACUCGUAUACACCCACCUUUGUGAUUCUCACAAUUGGAGCGACAAAUAUUAAAAGUUGCUU